UGGACGAAUAAAAAGGCAUUCGGUAAUCGGAUCUCCCCCGGGGGUGCUUUCAGCCGCGAACUUCUAGAUCACUUCCGCGGGAGACGCGGUGAGAAAAGCAGGGAGCGAAGAAGAUGUGCGAGAAAAGUAGAAGAAGACGAAGCAAAAGAAGAAGCAACUCUAUUGAAUUGUGAAGACUCGGGGAGGGGGGCACUGCGCGUACAUAAAUCUUUCUUGAGCAGCAUGUGCUAAAAUGUCGCGAGCCCAUAAACACGGAAGAUUGAAA
ensembl:ncRNA F28E10.8 ncRNA